GGGGAACCCUGACGCAGCAACGCCGCGUGAGUGAUGAAGGUCUUCGGAUCGUAAAGCUCUGUUAUUGGGGAAGACGUAACUGACGGUACCCGAGGAGGAAGCCACGGCUAACUACGUUGCCAGCAGCCGCGGUAAUACGUAGGUGGCGAGCGUUAUCCGGAUUUACUGGGCGUAAAGGGAGCGUAGGCGGAUGACUAAGUUGGGAUGUGAAAUACCCGGGCUCAACUUUGGGUGCUGCAUUUCCAAACUUGGUUUAUCUAGAGUGCAGGAGAGGAGAGUGGAAUUCCUAGUGUAGCGGUGAAAUGCGUUAGAGAUUUAGGAAGAACAUC
rnacentral:rRNA from 1 species